UUGAACGCUGGCGGCAUGCUUUACACAUGCAAGUCGAACGGUAACAGGGAGCUUGCUCCGCUGACGAGUGGCGAACGGGUGAGUAAUGCAUCGGAACGUACCCAGUCGUGGGGGAUAACGUAGCGAAAGUUACGCUAAUACCGCAUACGUCCUGAGGGAGAAAGCGGGGGACCGUAAGGCCUCGCGCGAUUGGAGCGGCCGAUGUCGGAUUAGCUAGUUGGUGGGGUAAAGGCCUACCAAGGCGACGAUCCGUAGCGGGUCUGAGAGGAUGAUCCGCCACACUGGGACUGAGACACGGCCCAGACUCCUACGGGAGGCAGCAGUGGGGAAUUUUGGACAAUGGGGGCAACCCUGAUCCAGCCAUGCCGCGUGAGUGAAGAAGGCCUUCGGGUUGUAAAGCUCUUUCAGCCGGAAAGAAAUUGCUUCUAUUAAUACUAGGAGUAGAUGACGGUACCGGAAGAAGAAGCACCGGCUAACUACGU
rnacentral:rRNA from 1 species